ACUAAAUAGAUACCCCGGUAGUCCACGCCGUAAACGAUGAUCACUCGCUGUUUGCGAUAUACAGCAAAGCGGCUGAGCGAAAGCAUUAAGUGAUCCACCUGGGGAGUACGAUCGCAAGGUUGAAACUCAAAGGAAUUGACGGGGGCCCGCACAAGCGGAGGAACAUGUGGUUUAAUUCGAUGAUACGCGAGGAACCUUACCUGGGCUUAAAUGUAGGCUGCAUUCGGCUGAAAGGCUGAUUCCCUUCGGGGCUGCUUACAAGGUGCUGCAUGGUUGUCGUCAGCUCGUGCCGUGAGGUGUCGGGUUAAGUCCCAUAACGAGCGCAACCCCUAUCGUUAGUUGCCAGCGGGUCAAGCCGGGGACUCUAGCGAGACUGCCACCGUAAGGUGAGAGGAAGGUGGGGAUGACGUCAAAUCAGCACGGCCCUUAUGUCCAGGGCUACACACGUGUUACAAUGGCCGGUACAAACGGGCAGCUACUAUGCGAAUAGAUGCUAAUCUCGAAACGCCGG
rnacentral:rRNA from 1 species